rnacentral:rRNA from 1 species
AGAUUGCAUGCAGUGCAAGCCGUACGCGUUCGCGCGUCUAGGUGAAACCGCGAAAGGCUCAUUAAAUCAGUUAUGGUUCCUUAGAUCGUACCAUUACUUGGAUAACUGUGGUAAUUCUAGAGCUAAUACAUGCCCAGAGUUCCGACCGGCGGGAGGAACGCUUUUAUUAGAUCAAAACCCAUCCAACAUGGUGACUCUGAAUAACUUUGUGCUGAUCGCACGGUCUCUGCUGGCGAUGCAUCUUUCAAAUGUCUGCCUUAUCAACUGUCGAUGGUAGGUUAUGCGCCUACCAUGGUGGUAACGGGUGACGGGGGAUUAGGGUUCGAUCCCGGAGAGGGAGCCUGAGAAACGGCUACCACAUCCAAGGAAGGCAGCAGGCACGCAAAUUACCCACUCCCAGCCCAGGGGAGGUAGUGACGAAAUAUAACGAUACGGGACUCAUCCGAGGCCUCGUAAUCGGAAUGAGUACACUUUAAAACAUUUAACGAGGAUCCAUUGGAGGGCAAGUCUGGUGCCAGCAGCCGCGGUAACACCGGUUCCAAUAGCGUAUAUUAAAGUUGUUGUGGUUAAAAAGCUCGUAGUUGGAUGUGUGUCUCGCGGCGUCGGUUCACCGCUCGACGGCGGUGUCAACUGGCGCGUCGGCGAAAUGUCCUGCCGGUGGCGGUUUCGCUGGUCGGCCGUCGGCCCCUGGCUCGGCCAGGUGUCCUGUCGCGGUC